UAAAAAAUGGGGUUUUGCCAAAUUAAAAAAAAGAGUGUCUGGUUAGUGGGUCUUUGGCCCAUAUUUUUUACCAGAAAUGCUUUGCCAAGUAAAAAAAAAGAGAGAGUGUGUGGUUAGUGGGCCUUUGGCUCAUUUUCGACAAAAAAUGCUAAUAAAAAAGAAAAAGGAUAUGCCAAGUAAAAAAUAGGGUGUGGUUAGUGGGCCUUUGGCCCAUUUUCGACUAAAAAAAAUGCUCAUGAGAAGAAUAUGGUACUAAAAAAAAGAGGAAUAGGAUAGAGAUGAAAUCAGAAAAUCAACAAGUGGGGUUCUUGACCCUUCUGAGGUAAGUAGCCAUCCCCUAUAAAUAGAAACUUUUUUUACUUUACCAGGAACCAAGGAUUGAAAGAAAAAGCCAUUAAAAAAAACAGAGACUGAAAGUAGUCUGGGAAAAAGAACAAAGAAGCUUUGUGAUUUGUCUGUUUGUAGCUUUCAUUAAGGUUUCAAUUUGCAAAUUUGCAAAUGGAUAGUGGUACAAUACAAUGAUGAUGGUUGCAGGGAACAGAGUUAAUAUAGACUCUCAUCACAUACUAGAUGGUUUAUGAUAAUGGUGUAGCCAGCUCUUGGAAUCGGUCAACACAUGCUUCCCAUAGAGUUUGGACACUGAAUCCUGCACAACCCAUGAGAAGUGUUUUGAUAUGGACUCUCAUUAUGCUUCCUAUAGGGUUCAGACAAAUCAUUCACCAAAUGCUCCAGCAAUAUCAUUAACCAUCCACCAUUCAUGUUAUAUCAUCCAAAUGCUGUAUUCACCAUGAGGAGGGGUUUUAGGACUGGCUAUAGGCAUAUUGGCCAUCCACCACACCAAUUGGUUUUCACCAUGUUGAUGAUGUUGCUUUAUUGAUUAAUCAUCCUACCAAUGUGCCCAUGGAAGCUGAAAACACAUCUUAUGAGGUAAGUAGGCAAAGUGUUAUAGUCAAAUUUGAAUAAAUAUGAUAAAUAACCUUUCUAGUUCUUAAGAAAAAAAAUUCUAACUUUUUUUUCCAUUUAAGUAGAAUCAUAAGACUAGUAGCAUUUCUUUGUUGUUCCUGGCUUUUCUUUGCCUAGUUCAAUCUUUGUACAGUGGUUGGAGUUCCCUUAAUACUCCUUUUUAUAUCUGUUGGAACAUGUUGUCAUGCAUUUUGUCAAAACAACCGAUUGUCGAAACAGAUGCCGUGCCAUCUGAUCUCGUGAAGCUAGGGCAUCAGUCCUCAGCUUGUGUUUCUGUUGUGGGACCUCUGAAGAUUUACUGAAGAUAUGUUUUUGAGUUACUUGAGGAGCAAGUAUCUAUUCCAGAAGGGUUUAUUUGUUGGGUUGUUAUUUGUUGAAACAAUCUUUGUUAAAAGAUUGGUUUCUAUCUUUACUUGUGCAAUAAGAAACCGAAUCUAUCAAGAUUGCGUUUUGAAUUGCUGUUACUGCAAUCUGUUUCUUCAGCCCGUGCCAACCCUAAAGCCCAUGCUACCGCUGCUGAAGUCUAUAAGAGGAUGAAGACCUAAAACGUGAAGAUGGUCGAAGCUGAUAGAGAGAGAUCGAGUGUUUUAGGAUUUGUUAUUGUGCUUUGUCCUUUGUUGGUUGUGGAUCUGUCUUUGCUCACUGAUUCUAUAAAGCAAAGAGAGAUUCUGUGUGUUUGAUUGCAUUCAAACUCUACUUGUUCAUUGUGUUUACCAAUCACUGUGGCAGUGAUUGAGAGGAAGUGAGAGGGGCUCUCAUACUUAGGUUGAGAUUCUAAGUAGAAAUACACUGGGUAGAUUAGGAAGUGAACUAUGAACUGAGUUGUUCAUGAGUGUCUGUAAUUCCUGAAUCUUGAGAUAGUGGAUUUCCUUUCUUUGGGUGCAAACCCUCCAGACGUAGGUGAAAGUUUUCACUGAACUGG